UGUCCAAGGAGAAGGUGAUCCCAUCUGCUCCAGAGCUGCCCUGGCAUCCUUCUUCGAGGGACAGAGCAGGCAUCGUGGCCACGUAGGGCCCACGGGGCCUGACAAACCCUAGCAAGCCAGCUCAAGGCUUCUGGGCUAGGAGUGGCCCAGGCAGAGCCUUGGAGUUCAGCACUCCGGUCACAGGGUGAUCCAGCACACUUCUGACUGAGCCAUGUGGACUUUUUCAGGCAAGAGUGAUGGUGGGUAGGGUUCCCCUUACACUGGAGGAGAGCCCCAGAAAGGAAUCUUCCUGAGAAGCUGAGACGAUGGCGGGACAGCGAUGGUCGCCUGGCUCCCAGAACUGAGCUUCCCAACAGACAGAAGGCAGAGAUCCCCUCGCCUGGAGACAUUUUCUGAAGACUUGGGAAAAGGAGAAAAGGCGGGCUACUCCCUGACAGCAGGCCUCCAUGCUUCUGAGAGCCAAUACCAAGAACGCCAGGUAAGAUCGGGGCGUCCACCUGGGUCAGCCACCUCUUUACCAGAAUGGAGAACCAAACCCGGGAGAUGCAAGGGCCCAGUGAGAAAUAUCCCUGCUCUCUGGAGAUAGAGCUUGUCUCCCCCCACCCCCCAAGCCUCUCUCACCUUCCAACGGCCCCUCAGGGCGAAGGAUCCUUUCUUGGGGUAAAUGAAAGGCUCCUUUGAAUUCCUUUUCUCAGUGAGGCUCCCUCAAAUGGAGGAGUACAUGUAUGUCCCUGGGCCCAGAGAGAGAAGGCAGACCUUCUACUCCUCCCCACCAUCCCAGUCCCCACCCCCACCCCACCCCUUCCAGGCGGCCUUUCGAGCUACUCAGGGGUGGGGGAAGGAAUCUCCCUGGCUACCCGUUCUUGGCAAUCUUUUUACAGGCGAGUCUGCCCCCAUGCCCUCCUCCGGUGCUUUCCUUCCCCCUCAGCCUUCUGUGCCCUGCAAGGCCAAGGCUGCUUUAGCCAGGAGUGCAGGGACAUACUUACGAGAACAUAGAGACGGUGCUGGGUCUUCUGAACAAGCUGUCCCACACCCAGAGGGUUAAGAAACUGAGAUGCCAGGCAUGGAGUUUAAGGUGAGAGACCAGGCCCGGCUGCUCUGAGUUAAGAGGCCUGGCAUGGUACCUUCAACCCCAACCCCAGGGAAAAUUCUCUUUCCUUGGAGCCUUGGAGACCUAUGGGGAUAUGCGCAUUAAAUGUCCACCAGCUUGAUUAUUCUAGAAUUAUAGGGUCCGAACUAGACAGUCUUUAUCCGGGGAUGGGACAAGGAAGGAGGAGGCAAAGACCUUUCCUGGUUGGAUGCCUCCCUCUCUAUACUGUCUGGCCAUUUACGUCACCUUAAGAAAGAUGGGUCUGGUUCUUGUGUCCCACCGAGAAGAUGUAAAAUCUCUGCCGUGCUCUCCUUUUUCCCAAGUGGGGAUGGCAGCAGCCCUCAUGUCCCCUUUCUGGAUCACUGUCUGCAAAUCUAGAAUGCCCCAUCCCCAGUCCUGGUCCUCCAUCCAAGGUGAUCAUUUCCAGCCACACAAGUCAGAAGUCCAGAAGGUAGAGCAGGCUGUGGUAUUCUGCCCCAGACCUCGUCAUUGGAUGUCCUGUUUUUUUACUUUCGUCUGCAAUUUUAUUAUAAAGAGUAAGGUGAAUCUGUUUAUGUGCCUAAGCUGGAAUACUUGUUACAAAUGGAAAACUAACACCAUGCAGAGUUUUAAACAAUAAUAAUGAUGAAGAUGCAGUAUCAAUACCACACUGUCCCCUGCUUCUGUGGCUUGUUGGGCGCUGACCUGAAGCCCCUUCCGGAAAUAAGCAGGCCUCAGGAAGAAGUCGGAGGCAGAACAGCCAGGCUUCCCUCCCCAUACACAGGACCCCACACCCACAGGCAUUGUAGCCCAUGCGUGUAAUCUCAGAAUUCCAGAAGUAGAGGCAGGGGGAUCAGCAGUUCUAUACAAUGAAUGAGUUUGGGGCUAGCCUGGUCUACAUGUGUCUCUGUUUCUAAAAAGAAAGGACAAAAAGGAAAAUAAGGGGGAAGGGAGGGCAGACAAAGAGGCAAGGGGCGAUCCAAAUGGCAUGUCACCAAAUGACUCCCAAAGAUCACGACUCCCUCGGCUUCCCCAGAAAGCAAAAGCAGUGCAGGCAAAAGGGCUUUGGGCACAGUUGACCCUGAGGAAGGAAGGCUCCUAACAACCCAGCUACGCUGUGUCCACCACUCCUGGCUAUUUCCUGAAAUGUUCCUUAGCUCCAGUGCCACCUCUUCCAGGGUCCCCGGGAGCUGUGGGGAAUGUCGUGGAGAAGACAAGUUGUCCUGACUCCAAGAGAGUCCUGUGUUCAGAUCUCCUGGCAAGUGGGUUGUGGAAAGAUUCUGAGGAUUCCAGACAGUGGGGAGUUGGUUAUUGGCUGGGGGUUGCCUGAGGGAGGGCAGAAGUUUCUCAGCCUUAGUAACAAAUCAGAGAAGUUUUCCCCACUGCCCCUGCACUCCACUCCCAGCUUGGGGGUGCUGGACUCCCGUUGGGAGGCCUAGGAGCUGUGGGGUUUCUAGAAAUGGAGGUGCACAUUUCUUUUUCUGUUCUCUCCCAGCCCUGAGGAAACUUCAGAAAACCCUGAAGGUAUGUAUCAUCCGGCAUCAAGGCCACCACCACUGCAGUCACUGUGAAGCAAAGGUCGUCUGAGGACCCUGGGGUCUUAGCUAGAGCAGAGGGAGUGGGUGGUUUGGGGUGGGGGUGUUCUGCUCACCUGGGAGUUUCCACACAUGCCAUGGCUAUAGAAGAAAAGGAAUCAUUCACGUGGUCACCCAGUCACCACGUGUCAUCUGCGGUCUGUGGCUAUGUGCAAAGGUCAUCAGCAGGUUCUAGGGACACCCAAAUUAUAAUAUAUGGAGCUCUGGCUGGGGUGACCCAGAGAUGAACCACUCGAAGGCCACGAAGGAUGGGGUGGGUUGCAAGCCAUCUACUCAAGAAGUAUUCAAGAGCACAGCCUCGAUCCGGGGGCUGAGGGAAAACAUUAGGCUCUCUUUCCUGCUGAAGGAAAGUGCCCACAGAUGAAAACUGUACCUCAGGAGCUAGGAAGAAACAGAGUUCAAAAGACGGGCACGCCCAUGAAGGAGGUGUCCUGGGCUCUAAAGAAGUAAGGGAUGGCUUCUCACUAGCAAUCAUUUGUUCAGCGUGCGUACAGAGAUGGAUGGAGGACGAAUACGAGAACCACAGGUUAAGCCGGCAGAGAGGCUAUCUACUAUCUGCAAGGCCCUGGGGUCCGUCUUUAGCACUGAAAAACAAAACAAACAAAAAAUCAACUGCACGCUUGAAAUGGAUGGGGUCUAUCUCAAGAAAGCUAAUUUAGAAAGACAAAGGGCGUGAAAGUGGAAAUUCCAGGGCAAGUCGAGACCCGGAGAGGAAGCAGACCACUGCGCAUGCUCACACUCCUUCUCCUGCGCAGGAGCGGAUGGAGGGCCUGUCUCCCAGCCUGAGGUGCAGUGCUGCAUCUCUGGUCAGUUGGGAGUCUGAGAUGAAGCACUGUAGCUCAGGAAGGGAGAAGAUGUUCUGCAGCCGUCACCAGGACGUGGUAAGUGUUGGCAUGGGGUAACGGGCCCAAUAGGUUGUCAGCUGCAGCGGUUUGUGGUGAUGUUCCUGGGUUCAAGCUGUACCAGGGCUGAUCACUCUUGUGCCAUCUCAAACAGUAAGCUCUGGUCCAUUCAGGGGCCGCCAGCACCAACACCCUGCCUCUCCUUCCUCAGCCUAGAGAAGACCCUGCUAACAAAAACGACUCUACAUAUACCCAUUCUGGGAGGCUUCCAACACACCCUCAGAACCCUUCUCAACACUGCAUAGUGAAUACUCACUGUAAAUGAUUCUGCAUUGAAACCCCUUCAUCUCUAUAGACCAGACAGUACCUAACAACCCUUAGUCCUAGAAGCAGAGAUGCAGAGUCCUGGCUACCUGUCUGCCCUGCCCUAGAGUUUUCAGAGAGGCAAGGCGUCACCUAGGAGAGUCCCUGGGGUAUACCCAAUUUGUAUUUAACCUCCCAAGCCUGGUCAGAGGAAAGUGACCCACUUCAUAGAGGAGGGUAGGAAAAAAGAACAAACCCCACCCUGGUCUUGGCUACACUCAGAUGCACCGUCAGAGGCAGAACCACACACUCCCACACAUACACGAGGGCAUCAGAGGAGGGCAUACAUGAUCCUGAGCCACCAGGUGGCUGCUGGGAGUUGAACUCGGGACCUCUGGAAGAGUGCUCUGAAUCGCUGAGCCAUCUCACCAGCCCCUGACCAUACAUACAUAUUUCUAAGCAUCCUGUGGCCUUGCUUCCUCCAUGCUGUCUCCUCGCCCACCCAGGAGGUCCUAUUUGAUGCCACUUAACAGUCGAGCGAGGAGCAGAGUCUGAGUGACCUGCUGGAGGACAGCAGUGAGCCGGUCGCGAGAGCCUGAGAAUGGACUUCAUAAUCACUGGCCAGGGUUCUCGAGGCCUGUGGCAAGGGGGAGGGGCCGGAAAGGACUGGUCCCCAAAAACUUCCUGACCUCAGAGAAGGUACUUUCCAAGCCACUCAGAGCUCUGGUUGGUCUUCCCAGAGCAGGAAGCUGCAUCCUGGGAAGCAGGGUGCACACAGCACCCCCACACUGGCUGCCAGAGCUAGGGCCCCGGAUGCAGAGAAAAACGUCUGGUCCCUAAGGGCGUGGCACAUGCUGAAGGCAUCUCUCUCCCACCUUGUCCUCACGGUCCAGUUUUCCCAGGAAUCCCUUGGAUGCUAAGAUGGGGAUUCCUGGAAAUACUGUUCUUGAGGUCAUGGCUUAACAGCUGGAUCUGCCUCCUUCCCACCCUGGCAUCUCCUCCCAGGGAGGAGGAGGAGGAGGGAGGAGGCGGAGCGAGCGUCGGAGGUAAGCGGUCUCGGGAACUCUCUUCUGACCUUUGUAUAGCUUUUCUUUCCACUCUAUCCAUAUUUCCUAACAUCCCCGGGAGGCUGGAUGUGGGAACCUCAGUGCUGCCUCACUCUUGAGAAACUUGUCUCGAGACACAGCGGUUGAACCAGACUCUAUGACACAGCCUUCCCUCCGCUCUGACCCUCCUCAUUUCCUUCUCUGUAGGCCUUUGUGGUGAGGAGGAGCCAGAGGCCCACGUCCACAUUUUAAAGAAAGUAAUGCGUAAAUUUAUUUUAAAAGUUUAUUAAAUCAGAUAGGUAAACUAAAAACCAUUCAUCUCUGUUGGAUUUGGAGGGCAGCCACAGGAAAAUGAGUUUUCAAGGUAGAAAAUACAUGAUUUGGCGCGCCCCCUGGUGGUGCCUCUUCCCACUACAGGAACACUUGUGAUCUUGUACACCGCCACCUACGCGUUUAACCCUUAUUUCUUGCCAGAGAUGCUUCCACAGCUUACGGUUAACUGGGUUUUCCUGAGGCCCAAACAAGAGCCAGGUCACCUAGAAAGCAAACGGUAGAGCCAGGGUUGAUUUCGAGCGUGGAAUUGAAUGUCUGAAUGUCCUGAGUCAAAAGAAAAAGUAGAGGCGGGUACUACUCCCUUAUAGUUCCCUGCCCCGCCCCCUCCCAGCUCUUGGGAGUUCUUUCUUGUUUUCCCUUAGCAAAUCUUUGCUUAUUGUGCUAAAAUAAAAUAAAAUAAAAAAUAAGGCACACGCCUUUAAUCGCAGCACUCAGGAAGCAGAGGCAGGGAUGGAAGUCAAAACCCUUGAUGAAAUCAGCUACAAAGUAGAACUAGGCCAGGAAGGAUGUGACAGAGCUUACCAGGCGCUCACCACCAAUCUGAGGGCUUGCGUGGAAUUCCCAGAACCCACGUGGUAGGAAGAGAAAGCUGUUUGGCCUCUGACCUCCAUGUGCGUAGCAUGCUGUGUGCAGCAAAUGUGUGUGCGCGCACGCACGCACGCGCACACAAUAAAAAGAGCUAACUGCAAAGGGAAACUAGAACUCAGGUGCUGGGAGAGAGGUCAGGCAGUAAAGCGCUGGGUUCAGAUGCCCAGCGCCUGUGUAGGAAGCCAGCUGUGGAGGCUGGUAGGGAGGACAAGAGGACCCCUGGAGAUCUGCAGCCAGCCAGACUAGCCAGGGUUGGUGAGCUCCAGGUUCACAGAGAGACAGUGUCUCAGAAUCACAGGGUAAGCGGUGACAGAAGACGCUAACCACACUCACACACUCAUGU